rnacentral:lncRNA from 1 species
GGACAAAAAACAACAAAAGGUGCUAAUACAUGCAAUAAGAGUGCUUCAAGUGGUUCGCUGGUUUUGAUGGGUGCCACUAAACUACUUGUAAGAGUGCUCAAAUUCAUUUCAUAUGUCCCCCUGUUAUGUUUUUGUUUUUUCAUAUGGUAACUUUUAUUUUUCUCAGCAUUCUUGAAUGCCUGAAAAAUCAUAACAAGGACGUAGCUCUAGCUACAAUUGUAAGUUCUGAAGCUAAAUUUAAACUUGAUGGCCCUGAAAUUAAUAAUGAAUUUUGGGUAGUGCAUGUCGUUAUGGCACUCGUGGAAACUAAAAUUUUUGUACAAAGUCGCAAAAACUGCAAUACUCUCGGUAAUGCAGAAAAGCAAAGAUUUUAUGGCCUUCAAACUUUGUAUGUGACUAAUAUCUUACCUUCAUUACUACUUGCAUCUUGUCAAUGCAUUGUGUGCUAACGGUUUAUUUUGUUAUCUUGUUUGUAGAUUCAAAAGAUAAAUGGAUGACUACAUGGCUGUGUGGCAAUUAUAUAUACUGCAAUGAUGAUAUCGAUGUUUUGUUUCAUGAUAAUGAUGAUGAUGAUGAUGUUGAUGAUGAUGAUGAUGAUGAUGGAUGCUUUUAGUUUGAGUUAUGUUGUAGGGAUGAUAUUCUUGUUGAAUGUUGUUACUCAGUUAAUUUUUAGUUAAGUUGUAUGGAUGUUGAUGGAUGCUUUGAGUUUAAGUUUUGAUGUCAAUAAAAUAGUUAGAUUGUGCAUCAUAUUUGGAUGAUGUCCCUCUUGUAAUAUCCCUCUUGUAAUAUCCACUGUUGUAAUUCAAUAUUUUUUUAUCUAAUAUAUGAUUUCUUCUUUUCGUGA